UACGUAGGGUGCAAGCGUUAAUCGGAAUUACUGGGCGUAAAGCGUGCGUAGGCGGCUAUGUAAGACAGAUGUGAAAUCCCUGGGCUUAACCUGGGAACUGCAUUUGUGACUGCAUUGCUAGAGUGUGGUAGAGGGAGAUGGAAUUUCGCAUGUAGCAGUGAAAUGCGUAGAUAUGCGGAGGAACACCAAUGGCGAAGGCAAUCUCCUGGACCUGCACUGACGCUGAGGCGCGAAAGCUAGGGGAGCAAACAGG
rnacentral:rRNA from 1 species